GGGCGGGAUGGGGGGAUGUCAGUCACCCCUGUUGGGGUCCAUGCGUCUAGGACAGGCUGGAAAGGUCAUGGCUUGGGUGCCUGCACAGCACAGGGCUUACAGGGGAGCAGGGGUCCCGGGG